GGGGAUUUAGCUCAGUGGUAGAGUGCUUGCCUAGGAAGCGCAAGGCCCUGGGUUCGAUCCCCAGCUCCG
rfam:Rattus norvegicus chromosome 8, whole genome shotgun sequence.